CAGACUCCCAAGCACCUGCCCAUCCCACUCCAUAGCCCAGCCACCCACUCUCAUGUACCAUAUGGCCAUCCCAGUAAGCAAGCCAACCACUAGAAUUUGACUGGCAUGCACCUGUGACUUACAUAAACCAGACCUCUACAUAGCCUACAUGUCUUCAUUUUGCUGAAGACUGCCCAUCAUCCUAGCCUGUUAUCUGUGAUAAAGCACACUGAAGUUAGGUUUGGAAUGCAUCCUUAUCAUGAAUGCUCUACACCUCCACCUCCAUCUCCCACAACCUAGGUAACAGCUUUGAGACUCACUAAAAGUUGGUAAGUUAUGUAAGGAAUUUCUAAAUUAAGUUUUAUACUACAUGUUAUAUGUGAUAUUAAACCACUGUAUGGUGCAUAUUACUGUAUGUAACUUACUAUGCAUAGAGUACUUACUGACAAAAUUAUUUUUUGUACAUUCCAGAACCCCCUGAAUGAUGUAGGCUAUGGGGCCACAUAAGACUUUGUCCAUCCAGGGUUACAUUGAACGACAACUUUAAACUAAAAAACCAACAUUUUUCACACAACUCCAGGUUGUUACUAACAAAUUACUACUACAAGUGUCAUCAAGGGAUAACUACAAGUAGAAGCACCAUUUUUGGAUGGAAAAAACCCUUCAGGAAAGUAUACGUAUCACAUGUAACAUGUAGUGUAACAAAGUAUGAACAGUAAGGUUUUUACAUACAGUAGUAUUACAUACGUACAUAACUUUUUUUACAGGAAUUUCCAACCAAGUUUGAUUAUGUACAUACAUGUUAUAAACCACUGUACGUAUGGUUACUGUAUGUAACUUACUAAACAUACAUAACAUGACUUAACUUUGAUACUUUUUUGGUACAUUCCAGAAAACCAGGACCCCCUCCAUGAUGCAGGCUAUGGGGCCACAUAAAACUUUGUCCAGGGUUACUACAUAACAUAAAGAACCCCCUGAAUGAUGUAGGCUAUGGGGCCACAUAAGACUUUGUGCAUCCAGGGUUACAUAGCACGCCAACUUUAAACUAAAG